rnacentral:rRNA from 1 species
CAGGCUGCUGAACAGGUCUGUGGUGAAAGCCCGAAGCUAAACUUCAGUAAGCCAUAGAAACCGGGCAGCUAGAGUGCAGGAGAGGAUCGUGGAAUUCCAUGUGUAGCGGUGAAAUGCGUAGAUAUAUGGAGGAACACCAGUGGCGAAGGCGACGAUCUGGCCUGCAACUGACGCUCAGUCCCGAAAGCGUGGGGAGCAAAUAG